rnacentral:misc_RNA from 1 species
AAGUCGUAACAAGGUUUCCGUAGGUAACAACCCUGUGAACCUUCAAUCUUGCUUGCGUGGCUCCAUGAAAGCAGCAAUCCCUGGUAAAUCAUUGUCGACCAGAUUUUGAGUCCGGGACCUCUGCCGAUGAGAGUUACGCUCGUAGCGAUGCAAGCGACCUGGCACCCCCAAGCAAUCAGAGUUCUGAAAGCGUCUUUGAUUGUGUAAGGGUGGCGCAAACACGCACAUCGUUGGAGGCCGACACGGCCGACGACCGGGUCCCUGGGUCACCAUGCCCCUUAAUCACCACACUGUAACGCCGACAGGUCGCGAUAAUUGUUAACAAUGGAUAUCUUGGUUCUC